AGUCAUUGAGUUCUAGAUAGCCGAGGUAAGAUGCAUCUGAAGCAACGUUAACGAUUCUUGAAGCAUAACGAUGAUGCUUUCCUGCUUCAAUUAAUCGAGAUGCCCUCCAAACGGAGCGAACAAAAAAACGCUAUGCUACAAGUUCUACAAGCUCAGACAUAAUAUCACUUGUACAAAAGCUGGAUCCAUACCACAUUUCCCGGAUAUUUG